rnacentral:rRNA from 1 species
CCUACGGGUGGCAGCAGUGAGGAAUAUUGGUCAAUGGUCGGGAGACUGACCCAGCGAAGCCGCGUGAGGGAGGAAGGUACAGAGUAUCGUAAACCUCUUUUGUCAGGGAACAAAGGCGGGGACGUGUCCCCGGAUGAGUGUACCUGAAGAAAAGCAUCGGCUAACUCCGUGCCAGCAGCCGCGGUAAUAGGGAGGAUGCGAGCGUUAUCCGGAUUUAUGGGGGUUAAAGGGUGCGCAGGCGGUCUGUUAAGUCAGCGGUAAAAGCCAGGGGCUCACCCGCGGCCCGCCGUUGAAACUGGCAGUCUCGAGUUGGAGAGAGGUAUGCGGAAUGCGCGGUGUAGCGGUGAAAUGCAUAGAUAUCGCGCAGAACUCCGAUUGCGAAGGCAGCAUGCCGGCUCCACACUGACGCUGAGGCACGAAAGCGUGGGUAUCGAACAGGAUUAGAUACCCGAGUAGUC